GACGAACGCUGGCGGCGUGCUUAACACAUGCAAGUCGAGCGGUAAGGCCCCUUCGGGGGUACACGAGCGGCGAACGGGUGAGUAACACGUGAGCAAUCUGCCCUUCACACGGGGAUAACUUCGGGAAACCGGAGCUAAUACCCGAUACGACCACCUCGGGCAUCCGAUGGUGGUGGAAAGCUCCGGCGGUGAAGGAUGAGCUCGCGGCCUAUCAGCUUGUUGGUGGGGUAACGGCCCACCAAGGCAACGACGGGUAGCCGGCCUGAGAGGGUGACCGGCCACACUGGGACUGAGACACGGCCCAGACUCCUACGGGAGGCAGCAGUGGGGAAUAUUGGACAAUGGGCGAAAGCCUGAUCCAGCAACGCCGCGUGAGGGAUGACGGCCUUCGGGUUGUAAACCUCUUUCAGCAGGGACGAAGCGCAAGUGACGGUACCUGCAGAAGAAGCACCGGCCAACUACGUGCCAGCCGCCGCGGUAACAC
rnacentral:rRNA from 1 species